rnacentral:lncRNA from 1 species
UCAUAUUUGGAUGUCAAAUAUCAUUAGCGAAAUGUGUGUGAUACACUCUAUACGCUGUAAUGUACUUCGAAAUGGUUAAUUUAAUGUUGUUAUUAUUACAUAAUUUAAAAUGGAUGUAAAAAUAAAAUAUGAUCGCAGCCAUCAAUGUACAUCAUAUUAAACUUUUGUUCCAAUCCUGUUCCAUCAGCUCCAAAAUAUAGCAAAAACAGGAUCAGGCUUGUAUAGCCAUUAUUUACUUCAAAAAAGGACGAUCUCCCUAUUGAACAAACCUCCUGGUGGUGAUAAAAAAUAUAUAUUAUAUAAAUGCUAGUUACUCCUAUAAGUUUUCUUAUGCCACUGAUUGAUACAUAUGUUAAAUUAACCAAAGUCUCAGUGAGUAAACUAACGCGUUUCUUAUUUCUUAAUGUACCAUAACCUGUUGUCACUACCAUUCUGCAAUUGAUGUUUCACCUGCAAUUAAUAACAUUCUUAGCUAAUCAGCAGUAACAUUCUUUAUAAGCAACAAUCACUUGCACAUAACGUGUGGUAGCAUGGAUAUUUUCUUCCCACAUGUAAGUACCUAUAUAGCAUGAGAUGUAAUCUACAAUUAUAGUUCAUUUCAUCAAAUAUCAACCUAUUAUGGGACUCGUUGAUCAAUGAAACAUCACUCCUAGGCAUUGUAGGAUAAUCUUCAUUCAUGUCUUCACUCAAGUGCAUAACUCUUCAACUGAUCUUCAUCUAACACUAAAUCUGCAGCAACCAAUGCAUCACAUAAUUACAUUAAUAUAAUCAGCAGUCAAUGAAGGCAUUGUUAUAAAGCUUACUGAAUGGUAGGUAUAAAUUACAUUAACAGAUCUCGCAUGGAUUGCGAUUGAAUAUUUUAUACUGGUUAUUUUGUUUUAAGCAGUAAAUUACAUUAAACUCAUGUGCUUCGAUUAGUUGGUUAAACAGAUUAAACUUCUACCCCACUGGAAGUUUGCGUGGCAUAUGCAUCCUACUGGAACUUUCACAAACAUCCUAAAUUCACGUGCUAGAUAAACCAACCUUUAUUUUAUAAUAUGCAACUUAUUCAUUUACCAUUAAUUACUCCCAAUACAUAGUAACAUGAUGCAAAAAUACAUAGACAUUCAACAUGAUGUGACUAUAUGUAAAAACUAUCAAGUAUAUGUUGAUAAAUUUAAAAAAAAGUUGGAAGAAUAUGAAAAAAAAUCAUUACCUUGUACACGUAAUAUCAUUCGUUGCCGAUAAAGGACACCAUCACUGAGGUGUUCCCAUGUUUUACUCCAAACAUAUUCAGGCCCAGAAAAUUGGUUUGAUACCAGCAAGAUAUCGAACAAUAGACUCACAUAAGAACAACAACACAUUUAAUUCAUUGACUCAUAAUGCGUUUUGCUCAUAAUGCAUUUUGCAAAAUAUUAGCCACAACAAUGCUUGAUUAAUUGUGUGGCCUUUCAAUGUGUAUAUAGCUUUUGACAACUUUUACUUAGUCCUGUAUAUGCACUGAUCAGGCUUUGCAAAAUGGAUCUUGUUAACUUAUAACUGAUAUUUUCUCAGCAAUAAAAAAAAAACUACUAAAUGAGCUUAUAUGGUUUUGUAGAUAAAACUAAAGAUACUUAAUACUACUAAUCAAUAAUAUGCAUUUUCCAAUGUGGUAUAUCUUGUGAUCCUACACCAUUAAUAGUAUGAAUGAAAAUUGUGGCAAGAUAUAGCUUUCCAUGAAAAAAUACAUAGUAUGAAAGAUAGAUUCCUAGAGCUUGAAACCGAUCUCACAUGUAAGUUCUGUUUGGUUGUAGUUAAUUUCACAUGAACUAACAAAGUAAACAUUGAAAGGAAAAAAAGAAGCAAUAGAUGAGCAAUCAACAUCUUCAUACAGUGACAGUCUAAAUGAUAAGCAAGGAGGGUUGGACCUAAAUGAAUCCAUAUCUCCACACAAUACUUAUACACAUAUCCAUAUAGACAGAUUUUCAAAUUUAAGGUCUAGUUAUCAUGAGUAGAUUAGAUAACACUGAGUACAAAAACCAAAAGAAGCAUGUUAACUUUGGCACCCAUUGAUUUUCAUUUUAAGAACAUUUGAAGAUAAGCAAUCAACAAUCUAUGUUUGAUUAUACUUGUCUCCAAGUACUUCUUUUGUGUCAUAAAAGUAAGUGAUUCAUAAUAUAAUAAAUUAUACAACAAAUAACUGAUGAAGAAUGCAAGUUUGGUGAUAUUAUUUGUUAAAAUAAAAAUGAAGGAUCAUGCACUAAAAUCAUAAAAUUCUCACAAUAAGGCAAUAUCACUUACAUUGGAGAUGUCAAAUUCAAUAUUUUAUGUCAUAGUUUCAACAGGUUCGUUCGUAUAGCAAACACCUUACAAAAUAUGCAAACUAAAAUGCAUCAAAUUCUUAAAGAACGGUUCAAGGCAAUUUCAAGUAUGGGGUUGCAUAGUCUGUUGUCAGUAUGAGGAAACCAUUACUAAAACACAUAUUUUGGCAUUGAAGAAUGUAACAGGAAUAGAGACAAUUUAAAUUCCUAUAUCUAAAUUCUAAAACACACGGUUGUAACAAAAAAAGGACAUGAGUGUUGAAAGUGAAAUUCAAAGAGGCAUUCAAUCAAACAUGCAAAAGUAGAAGUAAUUAAAGCUAAAAACUUAAAAAGAUGAUUAAAUAUAAAUAAGUUCGUAAAAGAAAAAGGAAACAACUCACUCCAUAUUAGGACUCGAGCAUCUGUAAGCAAUCACCACCGCAAAAACCGUCACCGCAGGCUGCUAGAGUCAAAAUUCCCAAUUUGAAAUCAAUAAUGAUAGUCUUUGGCUACGUUAAUUCAUUGUGGAAAUAAAAAUUAUUUUGAACACAACAAUAUGAAGUUUGUGAGGUGCAAACCGUAAUCUACACAUGAACAAACAAAUCAAAAUGGAAAGAAAAAACUAAACAAAACUAAAAAAAAAAAAGAUCUGCACAAAGUUUCAAAAAAAAACUAAAUCUUUUUUCUCCAGAGUUUCAUGUGAAGUAUUUGUUAUGUAAAAUAGCAUAAAGCGUCUCAUUGACUAC